rnacentral:misc_RNA from 1 species
GAUGAAGAACGUAGCGAAAUGCGAUAAGUAAUGUGAAUUGCAGAAUUCAGUGAAUCAUCGAAUCUUUGAACGCACCUUGCGCCCUUUGGACUUCUGAAGGGCAUGCCUGUUUGAGUAUCAUGAACACCUCAACUCCUUAUGGUCUUCCAUGAUGAGCUUGGACUUUGGGGGUUUUGCUGGCCUACAGUCAGCUCCUCUAAAAUAAAUCAGCUUACCGGUGUUUGGUGGGUAUCAUGGGUGUGAAAACUAUCUACGCUCGUGGUUUUCCACCAGGUAACCUUCAGCAGUGGAGGUUCACUGGAGCUCAUAGAUGUCUCUCCUCAGCGAGGACAGCCCUUUGAAUGUUUGAUCUCAAAUCAGGUAGGACUACCCGCUGAACUUAAGCAUAUCAAUAAGCGGAGGA